UACGUAGGGUGCGAGCGUUAAUCGGAAUCACUGGGCGUAAAGGGUGCGUAGGCGGGUCUUUAAGUCAGGGGUGAAAUCCUGGAGCUCAACUCCAGAACUGCCUUUGAUACUGGCGAUCUCGAGUCCGGGAGAGGUGAGUGGAACUGCGAGUGUAGAGGUGAAAUUCGUAGAUAUUAGGAAGAACACCAGUGGCGAAGGCGGCUCACUGGUCCGGUACUGACGCUGAGGUGCGAAAGCGUGGGGAGCAACAGG
rnacentral:rRNA from 1 species